UACGAAGGGGGCUAGCGUUGCUCGGAAUCACUGGGCGUAAAGCGCACGUAGGCGGGUCCUUAAGUCAGGGGCGAAAUCCCGGAGCUCAACUCCGGAACUGCCUUUGAUACUGGGGAUCUUGAGUCCGGAAGAGGUGAGUGGAACUCCGAGUGUAGAGGUGAAAUUCGUAGAUAUUCGGAAGAACACCAGUGGCGAAGGCGGCUCACUGGUCCGGUACUGACGCUGAGGUGCGAAAGCGUGGGGAGCAAACAGG
rnacentral:rRNA from 1 species